GUGGGUGUGCCGAAGUGGUUAUCGGGCAUGAUUUGAAAUCAUAUGGGCUUUGCCCGUGCUAGUUCAAAUCCUGCCAUUCACG